AUCGCUUCUCGGCCUUUUGGCUAAGAUCAAGUGAACAUAUGUAUAUAAAUCAAGUUUUAUUUUAUUUUUUUUUUUUAAAACAUUUUUUUUUUAAAGUUUAUUUAUUUACGAUAGUCACACUCAGAGAGAGAGAGAGAGGCAGAGACACAGGCAGAGAGAGAAGCAGGCUCCAU
rfam:Canis lupus familiaris chromosome 6, whole genome shotgun sequence.